CACGAUGGCGUCACAUGCCCAAAGGGUAGUUGAUGGACGGGUAGCAGGUUUUUUGUACGCACGAGCCGGGCACAAAUAUGCGAAUGGCAUCUUUUCCUCGACCCCGCGAUGGGCCCUCUUAUUGUUGCCCCGCCAGUUUACAUGUACCUCGAAGCCUGAAGCCUGUAGUUGCUGUGUUUGUCCAAGUAGAGGAAUAAGCCUGAAGGUUGGUAGCGCCGAACCUUUCUUGCAACGGUUCGCAGCACCGUUGUCAAAACGUUCUUCAGGUAGCAUUGAGGCACUUGUUGUUGGAGAAAAAUUGGUACUCGAUCAGAAACUGACACCGGCUGGCACGAAAGAAAGAGUAAUUUCCUGGACACCCUUCUUCGGGAUAAACAAGCCGUUAACGGCCCCGCGUCUUUUCCACUCCAAACUUAACUGUGGUCACACUCAAAAGCGGUCACAAACGGACGCGGUAAGGACCGUUGAAGCAGAUUUUGUGGAACAUGUGCUGCUUGCACCACGUCAAGUGGUUGACGGACAUAAAUUUGUCUUAAUCGACGUGCGGGAACCGGCGGAGCUGCAAGCUUUAGGAACAAUACCUAUGGCCAUAAACAUUCCUUUGGGGGAACUGGAAAACGUUUGGAAUCUUGAC